rnacentral:rRNA from 1 species
CCUACGGGAGGCUGCAGUGGGGAAUAUUGGACAAUGGGCGAAAGCCUGAUCCAGCCAUGCCGCGUGUGUGAAGAAGGCCUUCGGGUUGUAAAGCACUUUCAGUGGGGAAGAAAGCCUUGGGGCUAAUACCCUCGAGGAAGGACAUCACCCACAGAAGAAGCACCGGCUAACUCCGUGCCAGCAGCCGCGGUAAUACGGAGGGUGCGAGCGUUAAUCGGAAUUACUGGGCGUAAAGCGCGCGUAGGCGGUCUGAUAAGCCGGUUGUGAAAGCCCCGGGCUCAACCUGGGAACGGCAUCCGGAACUGUCAGUCUAGAGUGCAGGAGAGGAAGGUAGAAUUCCCGGUGUAGCGGUGACAUGCGUAGAGAUCGGGAGGAAUACCAGUGGCGAAGGCGGCCUGCUGGACUGACACUGACGCUGAUGUGCGAAAGCGUGGGUAGCAAACAGGAUUAGAUACCCCUGUAGUC